rnacentral:rRNA from 1 species
UACGGAGGGAGCUAGCGUUGUUCGGAAUUACUGGGCGUAAAGCGCACGUAGGCGGCUUUGUAAGUUAGAGGUGAAAGCCCGGGGCUCAACUCCGGAACUGCCUUUAAGACUGCAUCGCUUGAAUCCAGGAGAGGUGAGUGGAAUUCCGAGUGUAGAGGUGAAAUUCGUAGAUAUUCGGAAGAACACCAGUGGCGAAGGCGGCUCACUGGACUGGUAUUGACGCUGAGGUGCGAAAGCGUGGGGAGCAAGCAGG